UACGGGGGGGGCAAGCGUUGUUCGGAAUUACUGGGCGUAAAGGGCGCGUAGGCGGCUUUUCAAGUCGGGCGUGAAAUCUCCGGGCUCAACCCGGAAGGGUCGUUCGAUACUGUUGAGCUAGAGUGUGGAAGAGGCAACUAGAAUUCCGUGUGUAGCGGUGAAAUGCGUAGAUAUACGGAGGAAUACCUGAGGCGAAGGCGGGUUGCUGGGCCAACACUGACGCUGAGGCGCGAAAGCCAGGGGAGCAAACGGG
rnacentral:rRNA from 1 species